rnacentral:rRNA from 1 species
AGAGUUUGAUCAUGGCUCAGAUUGAACGCUGGCGGCAGGCCUAACACAUGCAAGUCGAGCGGUAGCACAGAGAGCUUGCUCUCGGGUGACGAGCGGCGGACGGGUGAGUAAUGUCUGGGAAACUGCCUGAUGGAGGGGGAUAACUACUGGAAACGGUAGCUAAUACCGCAUAACGUCGCAAGACCAAAGUGGGGGACCUUCGGGCCUCAUGCCAUCAGAUGUGCCCAGAUGGGAUUAGCUAGUAGGUGGGGUAACGGCUCACCUAGGCGACGAUCCCUAGCUGGUCUGAGAGGAUGACCAGCCACACUGGAACUGAGACACGGUCCAGACUCCUACGGGAGGCAGCAGUGGGGAAUAUUGCACAAUGGGCGCAAGCCUGAUGCAGCCAUGCCGCGUGUGUGAAGAAGGCCUUCGGGUUGUAAAGCACUUUCAGCGGGGAGGAAGGCGGUGAGGUUAAUAACCUCAUCGAUUGACGUUACCCGCAGAAGAAGCACCGGCUAACUCCGUGCCAGCAGCCGCGGUAAUACGGAGGGUGCAAGCGUUAAUCGGAAUUACUGGGCGUAAAGCGCACGCAGGCGGUCUGUCAAGUCGGAUGUGAAAUCCCCGGGCUUAACCUGGGAACUGCAUUCGAAACUGGCAGGCUAGAGUCUUGUAGAGGGGGGUAGAAUUCCAGGUGUAGCGGUGAAAUGCGUAGAGAUCUGGAGGAAUACCGGUGGCGAAGGCGGCCCCCUGGACAAAGACUGACGCUCAGGUGCGAAAGCGUGGGGAGCAAACAGGAUUAGAUACCCUGGUAGUCCACGCCGUAAACGAUGUCGAUUUGGAGGUUGUGCCCUUGAGGCGUGGCUUCCGGAGCUAACGCGUUAAAUCGACCGCCUGGGGAGUACGGCCGCAAGGUUAAAACUCAAAUGAAUUGACGGGGGCCCGCACAAGCGGUGGAGCAUGUGGUUUAAUUCGAUGCAACGCGAAGAACCUUACCUGGUCUUGACAUCCACAGAACUUUCCAGAGAUGGAUUGGUGCCUUCGGGAACUGUGAGACAGGUGCUGCAUGGCUGUCGUCAGCUCGUGUUGUGAAAUGUUGGGUUAAGUCCCGCAACGAGCGCAACCCUUAUCCUUUGUUGCCAGCGGUUAGGCCGGGAACUCAAAGGAGACUGCCAGUGAUAAACUGGAGGAAGGUGGGGAUGACGUCAAGUCAUCAUGGCCCUUACGACCAGGGCUACACACGUGCUACAAUGGCAUAUACAAAGAGAAGCGACCUCGCGAGAGCAAGCGGACCUCAUAAAGUAUGUCGUAGUCCGGAUUGGAGUCUGCAACUCGACUCCAUGAAGUCGGAAUCGCUAGUAAUCGUAGAUCAGAAUGCUACGGUGAAUACGUUCCCGGGCCUUGUACACACCGCCCGUCACACCAUGGGAGUGGGUUGCAAAAGAAGUAGGUAGCUUAACCUUCGGGAGGGCGCUUACCACUUUGUGAUUCAUGACUGGGGUGAAGUCGUAACAAGGUAACCGUAGGGGAACCUGCGGUUGGAUCACCU